CCACAGUGACACAUGCCCAUACAAAAACCUCCCCAGUCCAGCAUGUAGCAGAGGAUUUUUUUGGGACACAGAAACAAAGGACCUACAGAGUUGAAGAAUGUCUAAAACAUUGACCAAAGUCUUAAAUGUCAAACUGUCAUCAAGGAGAAGUCCAGAGAGAACAGUCAAAGCAACCAAAGCUGCAGAGAUAAUCCACCAGAGACUUCAUCCCUCCUCUCUGACAUACACACAUCAGCAAGUGAUCACAUUUGACACUCAACAUACGCACACUCAAUAAAGACAGCAUACAUACAUAUAUACAUACAUACAUAAAAUACAUGCUUUUUUAAUAUAUAUUUCUUUACAAAAGCAGACAUGAGCCAGAA